GACGAACUGCGCGAACGUUAUUCGGAAUCACUGGGCUUAAAGGGUGCGUAGGCGGCCCGGCAGGUGGGGUGUGAAAUCCCUCGGCUCAACCGAGGAAUUGCGCUUCAAACCGCCGGACUUGAGGGAGAUAGAGGUGAGCGGAACUCACGGUGGAGCGGUGAAAUGCGUUGAUAUCGUGAGGAACACCGGUGGCGAAGGCGGCUCACUGGGUCUCUACUGACGCUGAGGCACGAAAGCCAGGGGAGCGAACGGG
rnacentral:rRNA from 1 species